AGAGUUUGACGUCCUCGGCUCGAGGACGAACGCUGGCGGCGUGCUUAACACAUGCAAGUCGAACGAUGAGCCCUGCUUGCAGGGUGGAUUAGUGGCGAACGGGUGAGUAACACGUGGGUGAUCUGCCCUGCACUUCGGGAUAAGCCUGGGAAACUGGGUCUAAUACCGGAUAUGACCCUCCUUUAGUGUGGGGGUGGAAAGCUUUUGCGGUGUGGGAUGAGCCUGCGGCCUAUCAGCUUGUUGUGGGGUAAUGGCCUACCAAGGCGUCGACGGGUAGCCGGCCUGAGAGGGUGAUCGGCCACAUUGGGACUGAGACACGGCCCAGGCUCCUACGGGAGGCAGCAGUGGGGAAUAUUGCACAAUGGGCGAAAGCCUGAUGCAGCGACGCCGCGUGGGGGAUGAAGGCCUUCGGGUUGUAAACUCCUUUCGCCAGGGACGAAGCGUUAAAGUGACGGUACCUGGAGAAGAAGCACCGGCUAACUACGUG
rnacentral:rRNA from 1 species